AGGAUGAACGCUGGCGGCGUGCUUAACACAUGCAAGUCGAGCGACAGCGCCUCUUUCGGGGGUGUAUGGAGCGGCGAACGGGUGAGUAACACGUGAGUAACCUGCCCCAGUCUUUGGGAUAACCCUCGGAAACGGGGGCUAAUACCGGAUGUUCACCAUGUGCGGCAUCGUGUGUGGUGGAAAGUUUUUCGGUCUGGGAUGGGCUCGCGGCCUAUCAGCUUGUUGGUGGGUGAUGGCCUACCAAGGCGACGACGGGUA
rnacentral:rRNA from 1 species